AGCUUUGCACAGUGGCAGUAUCAUAGCCAAUGAAGUUUAUCCAAGGUGAGAUUAUUGCUAAUUGAGAAAAUGGCCAAGGACUAGAAAUAGUCCCCAAGGUCACACCACUAUAAUCACCUACCAAAAGCUCUACAUCUGAAUAUAAGUCUUUUGGAUGACAUUUUUGUUCCAAACCAUUAGCAAGAUU
ensembl:snRNA U4 U4 spliceosomal RNA